AAAAGACAAUACUACCACUGACGACUACUCGAAUUCACCGUAAAACCACAAGAAAAGUCCACCGUGGAUGGAUCAUUCAGUUAUAUAAAACUCAUAGCCGAAAGAAACUAAACGGAUCAGGUAAAAACGACGUAGUUUCAUUAUUAUAAGACUUCGGAAUUUCCGAGGAGAGACAUGCCCUUCAUCGGCGGCAACACCCGCCGUAGUCCCCCCGGCAGCGGAGGCGGAAGCGGCUGGGGCCAAUCCCUUCUCCCAACAACAGCCUCAUCCAAAUCCAAACUCCCGAUCAAUCGAAAACCACGGAAACGAACAGCUCUCGUAAACUUCCUCUUCACCAACUUCUUCCUCGUCGCUCUCGCCGUCUCCCUCCUCUUCCUCCUCCUCACGCUCUUCCACUUCGGCGUCCCGAAACCGAUCUCCUCCCGCUUCCUCUCCUCCUCCUCCUCCUCCUCUUCCAGAUCCAACCGAUUCGCAAAGCCGCGGAAGAGUAUCACCAACCGAAGGCACGUAAACAAUUCACUCUCCGUCGCCGCCGUGGUGGAUAUCACUACCAAGGAUCUGUACGAUAGGAUCGAGUUCAAGGACGUAGACGGAGGUCCGUGGAAGCAAGGGUGGCAAGUGACGUAUAAAGGAGACGAGUGGGAGAAGGAGAAGCUGAAGAUCUUCGUGGUGCCUCACUCUCAUAACGAUCCUGGGUGGAAGCUGACGGUGGAAGAGUACUAUCAGUUACAGUCGAGGCAUAUCCUCGACACCAUCGUCGAGACUUUAUCCAAGGAUUCUAGAAGGAAGUUUAUAUGGGAGGAGAUGUCGUAUCUGGAGAGAUGGUGGAGAGACGCUUCGCCUAGUAAGCAGGAGGGGUUGAGUAGUUUGGUUAAGAAUGGGCAGUUAGAGAUCGUUGGAGGUGGUUGGGUGAUGAAUGAUGAGGCUAAUUCACAUUAUUUUGCUAUAAUUGAACAGAUCGCAGAGGGUAAUAUGUGGCUGAACGACACAAUUGGGGUCAUUCCUAAGAACUCAUGGGCUAUAGAUCCCUUUGGCUAUUCGUCAACUAUGGCUUAUCUCCUCCGGCGUAUGGGUUUUGAAAACAUGCUUAUUCAGAGGACUCAUUACGAGCUCAAGAAAGAGCUUGCCCUGAAUAAGAAUCUGGAAUAUAUUUGGCGUCAGAGUUGGGAUACCAUGGAGACAACAGAUAUUUUUGUUCACAUGAUGCCUUUCUAUUCAUACGAUAUCCCACACACUUGUGGGCCAGAGCCUGCAAUUUGCUGUCAGUUUGAUUUUGCUCGGAAGCGGGGAUUCAAAUAUGAACUUUGUCCAUGGGGAAAGCACCCAGUGGAGACCACACAAGACAAUGUGCAGGAGAGGGCAUCAAAGCUUCUGGAUCAGUACAGGAAAAAAUCCACCCUUUAUAGAACCAAUACCCUUCUUAUACCUCUUGGAGAUGAUUUUCGUUACAUCAGUAUGGAUGAAGCCGAGGCUCAGUUUCGUAACUACCAGAUGUUGUUUGAUCACAUCAACUCUGAUCCUAGUCUAAACGCAGAGGCAAAGUUUGGCACUCUGGAUGAUUAUUUCAGAACGCUUCGAGAAGAAGCUGAUAGAGUAAAUUAUUCUCGUCCCGGUGAGGUUGGCUCUGGUCAGGUUGUUGGUUUCCCUUCUCUCUCAGGUGACUUCUUUACAUAUGCAGAUAGGCAACAAGAUUAUUGGAGUGGCUAUUAUGUUUCAAGGCCUUUCUUCAAAGCUGUUGAUCGUGUGCUUGAGCAUACCCUUCGUGGAGCUGAGAUCAUGAUGUCGUUUCUCCUAGGUUAUUGCCAUCGAGUUCAGUGUGAGAAAUUUCCGACAAGUUUUGCUUAUAAGUUAACUGCUGCAAGAAGGAACCUAGCUCUUUUCCAGCAUCAUGAUGGGGUAACCGGAACUGCUAAGGAUCAUGUGGUUCAAGAUUACGGCUCCCGGAUGCAUACUUCAUUGCAAGACCUUCAGAUCUUUAUGUCUAAAGCAAUCGAAGUCCUCCUUGGGAUCCGCCAAGGGAAAGAAAAAUCUGAUCAGUCUCCAUCAUUCUUAGAGGCAGAGCAAGUGAGAUCAAAGUAUGAUGCUCAGCCGGUUCACAAGCCAAUUGCUGCGCGUGAAGGAAAUUUACACACAGUUAUAUUCUUCAAUCCAUCGGAACAGACGAGAGAGGAGGUAGUGACCGUCCUUGUCAACCGUGCUGAAAUAUCGGUUCUGGACUCAAACUGGACUUGUGUCCCUAGCCAGAUUUCUCCUGAAGUGCAGCAUGACAAAACCAAACUGUUCACCGGCAGACAUCGCCUUUACUGGAAAGCUUCCAUUCCAGCUCUUGGUCUGAGAACGUAUUACAUUGCUAACGGGAAUGUUGAAUGCGAGAAAGCUACACAGUCUAAACUCAAAUACGCUUCUGAGUUAGACCCAUUUGCUUGCCCCUCUCCAUAUUCCUGCUCAAAACUUGACAGUGAAGUGACUGAGAUAAGAAACGAACAUCAGACUCUUGUCUUUGACGUUAAGAACGGCUUACUCCAGAAGAUAGUCCAUAGAAAUGGACCGGAGACUGUCGUGAGAGAAGAGAUUGGUAUGUACUUUAGUCCAGAUAGUGGAGCUUACCUGUUCAAACCAAAAGGUGAAGCUCAACCGAUUGUUAAAUCCGGUGGACAUCUAGUCACCUCCGAGGGACUACUAGUCCAAGAAGUCUUCUCGUAUCCUAAAACGAGAUGGGAGAAAUCCCCCAUCUCGCACAGCACCCGGGUAUACACUGGAGGCAACACUCUUCAAGAUCUAGUGGUUGAGAUGGAGUAUCAUGUCGAGCUUCUUGGAGAAGACUUCAAUGACCAAGAACUAAUUGUCCGGUACAAGACUGACAUUGACAACAAAAAGGUCUUCUACUCUGAUCUCAACGGUUUCCAAAUGAGCAGGAGGGAAACUUAUGAUAAGAUACCGCUUCAAGGAAACUACUACCCAAUGCCAUCUCUCGCAUUCAUACAAGGCUCCAGCGGUCAGAGAUUCUCUGUACACUCUCGCCAAUCUCUUGGUGUUGCAAGUCUUCAAGAUGGUUGGUUGGAGAUUAUGCUCGACAGACGCUUGGUCCGUGACGAUGGGCGUGGUCUAGGGCAAGGCGUGAUGGAUAACCGAGCAAUGAAUGUUGUAUUCCACCUUCUUGUGGACUCCAACAUCUCUCAGGCGGACUCUGUGUCUAACCCUUCCCUUCUCUCUCACCUCGUAGGUGCUCACUUGAACUAUCCCAUAAACACAUUCAUUGCCAAGAAACCGCAAGACAUAUCGGUGCGUGUUCCGCAGUACGGUUCGUUUGCUCCUUUAGCCAAACCAUUACCGUGUGACCUCCACAUUGUGAAUUUCAAGGUUCCACGUCCAUCAAAAUACUCUCAGCCAUUGGAAGAGGACAACUCAAGGUUCGCCCUUAUCAUCAACCGACGAGCUUAUGACAAAGCUUAUUGCCAUAAAGGAAGAAGAGCAAACUGCACAAGCGUGGCUGAUGAACCAGUGAACUUCUCCGACAUGUUCAAAGAUCUUGCAGCUACAAAGGUGAAACCAACUUCGUUGAAUCUUUUGCAAGAAGACAUGGAGAGUCUCGGAUACGAUGAUCAAGAACCACCCCGAGAUGGUUCAGAAGGACGUGUCUCGAUCUCUCCCAUGGAAAUACAAGCUUACAAGCUUGAGCUACGACCUCACAAGUAAAAAAAAAGUAUCUAGUUAAGACUGAUCGUUUGACUCUUUGGCUGGUUACAGCCUCACAAGAUCGUUGACUAAGAGGUUGAGCUCAGAAUCUGCUUCUUGCUAAAAAAGCUGUUCGGGAAACGUAAAACUGACAAAAGAGAGAGUAGAAGCUGGAGAGCCUUUGUGUGUCCAUGUAAAACUACUCAGGCUUGACCAUAAGUCUUGUACUCCCCAUUGAUCAUAAACUCGGUGAAGUAAGAAGGUGGAGAAUGAACGGCUCUGAUCUCCUUGUACUCUCUCCACCACUUCAUGAAACUGCUUCCCUCCAAGAAAAUCUCCGGUGAAACCUCACGUUUUCUGAUCAUCUCCCACACGUCUUCUUCAAACGUCAUGAGCUCUCUACUCACCACUUGUGUUUUGGUUAGAAUCAUAGCUUCCUCAACUUUAGCCCAGAAACAAGAAUCAAACGUCAAAAGAUCACUCAGGUCACUGUUCUUCGGUCUAUCCGGGUUAAUAUUUUCUGCCUUGAACAAUUUCUCGAGCACAGCAUAGUGGGGAGACCUUCCAGUGGUUUGAUAAUCUGUUUUACCACUGAGGUAAUACUCGGCAAUGUCGAGCGGCUCGACCAUCC